rnacentral:tRNA from 2 species
GCCGAGGUGGUGAAAUUAGCAGACACGCAAGACUUAAAAUCUUGUGGAGGUAAUCCCUCCUUGCGGGUGCAAGUCCCGCCCUCGGCACCA